rnacentral:rRNA from 1 species
UACGGGAGGCAGCAGUGGGGAAUAUUGCACAAUGGGCGCAAGCCUGAUGCAGCCAUGCCGCGUGUAUGAAGAAGGCCUUCGGGUUGUAAAGUACUUUCAGUCGUGAGGAAGGUGUUAAGGUUAAUAACCUUAGCAAUUGACGUUAGCGACAGAAGAAGCACCGGCUAACUCCGUGCCAGCAGCCGCGGUAAUACGGAGGGUGCGAGCGUUAAUCGGAAUUACUGGGCGUAAAGGGCACGCAGGCGGUUAAUUAAGUUGGAUGUGAAAUCCCCGGGCUUAACCUGGGAAUGGCAUUCAAGACUGGUUAGCUAGAGUCUUGUAGAGGGGGUAGAAUUCCAUGUGUAGCGGUGAAAUGCGUAGAGAUGUGGAGGAAUACCGGUGGCGAAGGCGGCCCCCUGGACAAAGACUGACGCUCAUGUGCGAAAGCGUGGGGAGCAAACAGGGAUUAGAUACC